CAUUCUCAACUAUACAAGUUUUUAUAAACAUGUAUGGCUUGGAUCUUGGGAUUUGCGGGCUUUCACAAGUCGGCUAUCCUUAAAAGCAUUAGCAGAGCUUUUGCCGCUAACCUCUGGUGUGAUAAUUAUCUACGCCGUUGAGUUACGACAUACUGAGGCUAAGCUUCUAACAGUCCGCAAGGACAACAUUUGACC
rnacentral:misc_RNA from 1 species